AGGGCCAACUUUGGCCAACUGAAGGCCAGACUGGGGAAAGUCUCCUGGGAUAGGGUACUGGAAGGCAAGGGGGUUCAGGAGGGGUGGAUGGCACUCAAAAGGGAAGUCUUGGAGGUACAAGCUUUGAUAAUACCUCUAGU